AGAGAGCGUCGGUGUUCACCUCACAAAUUCCACUAUAGCGCCACCGUCUCGCGAUCGCCAUAUCCGCGUAGAUCUCGCUUUCUGUUCGAUCCCUCGACCGGCAUCGAGCUCCAUCAUCAGUUUUCCGAGGUUUGUACGUCCUGUCCGCGUAGAUCUCGCUUGCCACUAGUAACCAAGCAAUCAGUGAUCUCUCUUCUCUAAUGGUUGAAGAAAUGGUUCUUGAUUUUCUCUUUUGGAAAACUGACGAUAGUUUUGCUUUGGGUCUGUCUUCGGUAUUGGCAACUGACUCUCCUGCGUGGUUGUGUGAUUGUGUGUGGCAUCGAUACGCAAGCACAUAAUUGAAUAAUUGGCUGGAUAUUUAUAGUAGCAAUUCGUAAAGCUUUGCGGCUGAUUUUACUCCUGAAAGUGAAAGCUGUUCGUAAGCACUCGUUUUGUCUUUCUAUGCAAUGCGGCAUCGCUUUCUUAUCGCAGUUUCUUGAGCUUGAAUUAGCUGGGUUCUCCACUAUCGUGCUUUCUUUUGCUCGUAAAUCAUAGAAAGUUUACCGAUGUCCAUUUUAUUAUUGGAAAUAUCGAUCACGUGGACAAUUUCUUGGAUGAGAUCAAUAAACUAAAUGAGACCAUGAAACGAAUGCAAGAGGCAGUGUCAGCUCCCUGAUGCAGCGGCUGACUUUGAUGAGGAUGACCUUGAGGCAGAGCUUGAAGAACUGGAAGGCGCUGAGUUGGAAGAACAGCUCCUUCUGCCCGUCGCAACAGUUUCUGCUGCUCCAGUGCAUGAUAUAGCUGGCCUGCUUCCAGCCCUCUGUUCCUCAGGGGACAGACAAGGAGGAUGAACUUGCUGAUUUGCAGGCUGAGAUGGCAUUUUGGGCAGGUCUUGCCGCUCAUAGUUACCUGAGGUUGUGUAAAGACUUGUCCAACCCGUACUGUGGAACAUUCCCACUGGUGCGCACAUACAUCGAUAUUUUCUAUGGUUCCAUACUGAAAAGACAUGUCGGUGGAGGGUGGGCAUAAUCAAAAGAUCUCCCCCUUUGAGACCUGCAUUCUGCUUUCCGGUGCUUCUACUGUGGUCACUUAUUUUUUUUCCAACUUCAUGUUGAACAUUAAACUUCUCCUUAUGGUUUGGAGGACAUCUUUAAAUAUCUCAGGUUAAAUUUUUAUCUUCCAUGGGUGCCACUGCUAAGAUUAAUGCGGUCUAGUCUUUGAGGAUGGCUCCCUUAUCAUAAGCCAUAUGCUUUAUACUGUCAUUGUGAUCUGAUAUAUCAGUUACAUUCCACAGGUCUUGCUGCUCGUAGUUGCCUGAGGUUGUGUAAAGACUUGUCCAACCUGUAUUGUGGAACAUUCCCACUGCUGCGCAUAUGCAUCGAUAUUUUCUAUGGUUCCAUGCUGAAAAGACAUGUCGGUGAAGGGUGGGCACAAUCAAAAGAUGUUGCCCUUUGAGGCCUGUAUUCUGCUUUCUGGUGCUUCUACUGUGGUCUAUUAUUUUUUUUCAGCUUCAUGUUGAACACUAAACUUCUCCUUAUCGUUUGGAGGACAUCUUUAAAUAUCUCAGGUUAAAUUUUCAUCUUGA